UAUACAAAUCCCUCGAGAAGUGCUAUUGUAACUUUUUUUUUAUUUUCAUCAAGCUCUUGAAUCGCUUAGUAGUUUUUGUUGUGCAGUUUUGUGCCGUUCGAAAAAAUUCAGGUUUUGGUUGAAUUAACUUAACUUCUCAUUAAGAUACUACUAACAUACUACUGUUUUUUUUUUUUUUGAGUGAAAUGCAGUUUAGGCUUAUUGAAUUCAACGUUUAUCUUUUCCUGUUCUCGUGAAGUUAAUUAUAAAUGCGCUACGUUGAAGUUCUGCAAACCACGACAUUGACUCUCUACAGACCACACUGUGGUAUUAUGUACUUAUGAAUUAAGCGUCAGUGGAAGUACUAAUAAGUUUGUUUGGUCAUUGAAUAGGACACGCAAACAGAAGAUUUACCCUUAUUCCUCGGUAGACAGUCAGUCCACCUUCGACGAAAAGGCUCCUCAAAGCACGUCAUGGAAGAACUCAAAGUUAGACAGAGGUCCUUAAAACGCCCUGUGGAUCGAGACCCUUCAACGUGAACCCCAAAAGUACAUUUAAUGUUUCUUGUGUUUAGUAAAAAGGAGAAAAAAAUUCCCUGAAAAUAAAGUUUAGACUUUUAAGUUAAGUGUAAAAUAGUUUUAUAGCACGAACCUGUAGUAUUUUGUAAUGUGAUGGCAGUGUGCAAUGGUGAAACAUUGCUGUCUUUGUCACGACACAAUAAUAACACAAUACUUAAUUACAGCAAAAAGAUGAAACUGAUCAGAUAAGAUUUUGGAAAUACAAAAACAAACAAACAAAGGUUUGUGCUUGUUUUUGCAAAUAUAAUGCAACAAAAGAUGAGAAUUAUCACAAGGAUAGAAAUACUAGUUGAAAAACAAUUCGACUGCGCGCUGUGUACGCGAUGCAUGCCUAUGUUUUUUUUAGAAGGUGUCAAGGAAUUCCGGUCUUUCGAUCCUCCAAGGGAAACGAAAAUUGGUUUGAAACACCGGGUAGUUCGAGAAUCGGAAGUGAAAUUGCAGUGUUCUACUGAGUUGAGAGAAACGACUUUUGGUUCGAGUUAUCUGGAGGUUAAAAAAAAUAAAGGGUUCGAGAAAUCGGGAAUUCACUGUACUCUUUUCCUUCUUUUUAAAAAAAUUGCCUCUUGGCACCGUAUGUUACACCUACACAUUCCGCAUGAAAUGUCAUGCUUUCAAUCUUUUCUCCACAUAAACAAGGAUGACAAACUGAAGCGAAUAUCUUGCUUGAGCGAACCGACCAAAUGAUCGCAUUUUACCCUUGGUGACUCUUCGUGAAUUGCAUUUAAAAGAGUUUUAUUUUCCAUAUAGACUAAGAAUUCGAAAUGUUUUCUGUAAUAAUCUAAUAUUGUAGGAGAUGGUAUUAAAAGUUUUAUUGUCAUCAAAAUGGGGCCGUGUCAUAUAAUUUGAAGUCAUGUCACAACAUUUUGAAUUUUAAAUCGAAGGGACGAAACAUUAAGAUGAGAAUUGGUUUUAAAAUGCAAAAAAAAAAAGGUUUCUGAGCGUAAAAUUUCACUUAUUUGUGCGCCGCCAAAAUAGUUAAAAGAAGAUUUUUGUGCGUUAGAACAAAAGUUAAGUUUUGAGUUCGAAGUUCGUUACUUGUUAUGGUGAAAAAAAAUUCUCUCGGUAUUAUUCUGCCGUGCAGAAUUUGUCUGUUUUUAUUGAUCAGAAUAUAAUUCUGCGUGUUGUAAAAUGACUUGAAAUCAUAAA